rnacentral:rRNA from 1 species
UGGGGGAAUCUUCCGCAAUGGGCGAAAGCCUGACGGAGCAACGCCGCGUGAGUGAAGAAGGUCUUCGGAUCGUAAAGCUCUGUUGAGAGGGACGAGAGAUUACUUCAGGAAAUGGGAGUAAGAGGACGGUACCUUUCGAGGAAGCCACGGCUAACUACGUGCCAGCAGCCGCGGUAAUACGUAGGUGGCGAGCGUUGUCCGGAAUUAUUGGGCGUAAAGGGAGCGCAGGUGGGACUUCAAGUCAGUCUUAAAAGUGCGGGGCUCAACCCCGUGAUGGGAUUGAAACUGUAGUUCUUGAGUGCAGGAGAGGAAAG